rnacentral:rRNA from 1 species
AAAGCCUCGUGCUCAACGCGAGGAAGCCGGACAAUACNGUCUAGCUGGAGGGCAUCAGAGGGGAGUGGAAUUCCCGGAGUAGCGGUAAAAUGCGCAGAUAUCGGGAGGAACACCGAUGGCGAAGGCAACUCCCUGGGGUGUACCUGACGCUAAGUGGCGAAAGCUAGGGGAGCGAACAGGAUUAGAGACCCUGGUAGUCCUAGCUGUAAACGCUGGGUGCUAGGUGUGGGGCGUAGAAGCUCUGUGCCGGAGCGAACGCGAUAAGCACCCCGCCUGGGAAUUACGGUCGCAAGGCUAAAACUCAAACGAAUUGACGGGGCCCCGCACAAGCAGCGGAGCGUGUGGUUCAAUUCGAUGCUACACGAAGAACCUUACCUGGGUUUGACAUGUACGUGGUAGAGAAGCGAAAGCGGAUUGACCCUUCGGGGAGCGUACACAGGUGCUGCAUGGCUGUCGUCAGCUCGUGCCGUGAGGUGUCGGGUUAAGUCCCGUAACGAGCGCAACCCUUGCCCUUAGUUACAAGUGUCUAGGGGGACUGCCGGCGGGAAGCCGGAGGAAGGUGGGGAUGACGUCAAGUCAGCAUGGCCCUUAUGUCCAGGGCUACACACACGCUACAAUGGUCAGUACAAAGGGUAGCGAAGCCGCGAGGUGGAGCGAAUCUCAGCAAAGCUGAUCGUAGUUCGGAUUGCAGGCUGCAACCCGCCUGCAUGAAGCUGGAGUUGCUAGUAACCGCGCGCCAGCCAUAGUGCGGUGAAUACGUACCCGGGGCUUGUACACACCGCCCGUCACGUCAUGGGAGUCGGUAACGCCUGAAGCCGGUAGUCUAGCCUGCAAGGGGGACGCUGUCUAAGGCGGGACUGGCAACUGGGACGAAGUCGUA